UGAGGAAUAUUGGACAAUGGAGGCAACUCUGAUCCAGCCAUGCCGCGUGCAGGAAGACUGCCCUAUGGGUUGUAAACUGCUUUUACACGGGAAGAAACACCGCUACGUG
rnacentral:rRNA from 1 species